AACGAACGCUGGCGGCAGGCUUAACACAUGCAAGUCGAGCGCAUCCUUCGGGAUGAGCGGCGGACGGGUUAGUAACGCGUGGGAACGUGCCUCUCGCUACGGAAUAGCCCAGGGAAACUUGGAUUAAUGCCGUAUGCGCCCUUUGGGGGAAAGAUUUAUCGGCGAGAGAUCGGCCCGCGUCUGAUUAGGUAGUUGGUGGGGUAAUGGCCUACCAAGCCGACGAUCAGUAGCUGGUUUGAGAGGAUGAUCAGCAACACUGGGACUGAGACACGGCCCAGACUCCUACGGGAGGCAGCAGUGGGGAAUCUUGGACAAUGGGGGCAACCCUGAUCCAGCCAUGCCGCGUGAACGAUGAAGGCCUUAGGGUUGUAAAGUUCUUUCACCGGGGAAGAUAAUGACGGUACCCGGAGAAGAAGCCCCGGCUAACUCCGUGCCAGCAGCCGCGGUAAUACGGAGGGGGCUAGCGUUGUUCGGAAUUACUGGGCGUAAAGCGCACGUAGGCGGAUCAGUCAGUC
rnacentral:rRNA from 1 species